UUGCGGUCAGAUCACGUUGAAACACCGGUUCCCGUACAACUCCCGAAGUUAAGCAACGUCGGGCCUGGUCAGUACCAAGAUGGGUGACCGCUUGUGAAUACCAGGUGCUGUAAA